rnacentral:sRNA from 1 species
AUUUAUCCUGCGCCACCGAUCGAAGCGAAAAUCCUUUCCCAAAGGGAAAGAUUGGAGCGUAGAGCGGGAUCGUUC